UUCACUCAGUUAUGAUGAGAUUGAGUCCUACUUACAACAUCUUAGGCCUCAGUAAACGUCAGAGAGAGAAUCCUUUUCUGCCUCCCUGCAUGAGCCCAGAGUACUCUGUAGGAGACCCAGAAAACAUGAAUAAAUGGCAUUUCCGGGAAGGCAUUUCCCUAUCGCAUUCUCCACAUUCAGAAAAGAUAAAACCAGCUAGGCACUUCCCCAGGCUCUUCAGGCUUGGAAGCAGAGCUGCAAGUGACAGCCAAAAUGUUCUCCACAGCCAAAAGCUGCAGACAAGAAGCUGCCUUCCCCCUCCCUUGGACUGCUGGGAUGUAGGAGGCAAGAGAGUGUGGUCCCAGAUACGAAUGAUAAAUAACUCAGUGAAAGAGGUGUCUAAUUAUGGUGGCACAGAUAGAGGGAUAAUAGUUAUUGGGAUUUUUUUUUCCUCUUUGGGAUUUUAAGAAUUGGACAUUACUUACUUUUUAUCUCCCUUUGGUAAGUUUUAAUUAAAAAAAAAAAUCCUUUUCUCUGAAUGGCCUGAAAACAUUUGAUUUUCUUCCAGACAUUUUAUUGAAGCAAUUUCCUGCUUCAUUUUUUAAAAAUGUAAAAUGUGGGAUGGGGAUAAAGAAAGAUCUACCUGACUCUAGGACAAAUAAUACUUUUAUAUAAGGCCCACUCUAAAGUAUCCCAAGAAGGGAGGAGGGUAUAGCUCAGUGGUAAAGCAUAUGCUUAACAUGCAAGAGGACCUAGGUUCAAUUCCCAGUACCUCCACUAAAUAAAAAAAUAAAUAGAUAAACCUAAUUACCUCCCUUCGCCCACCAAAAGAAAUUAUUUAACAUGCUUGUUUACUGAGGAAGCAUUGGUAGUUGCCUCUCCCACCCCCACCCCAGUCCUUUAGUUUGGUCACACCCAAAAGUCAAUGCAGCAUAGUUACAUCACAGCAGGGAUAGCUGGCUU